GAUGAACGCUAGCUACAGGCUUAACACAUGCAAGUCGAGGGGUAACAAGAGAAAAGCUUGCUUUUCUUGUUGACGACCGGCGCCCGGGUGAGUAACGCGUAUCCAACCUGCCUAUAACUAGGGAAUAACCUUGCGAAAGUAAGACUAAUACCCUAUGAUUUCCUUUGAUGACAUCAGAUUAGGAAUAAAGAUUUAUCGGUUAUAGAUGGGGAUGCGUUUGAUUAGCUUGUUGGCGGGGUAACGGCCCCCCAAGGCAACGAUCAGUAGGGGUUUUGAGAGGAAGGUCCCCCCCCUUGGAACUGAGACACGGUCCCGACUCCUACGGGAGGCAGCAGUGGGGAAUUUUGGACAAUGGGCGAAAGCCUGAUUCAGCCCUGCCGCGUGCAGGAUGAAGGCCUUCGGGUUGUAAACUGCUUUUGUACGGAACGAAAAGACUUUGGUUAAUACCUGGGGUCCAUGACGGUACCGUAAGAAUAAGCACCGGCUAACUACGUG
rnacentral:rRNA from 1 species